CCUCUCCCCAUCGUUCAGUUCACCUCCGCCUCUGCGAUCUUCAAAUCAAACCUACACAUCAAUAUGCCUCCCCCGCCUCCCCCGCAAUCGGUCUCUAUGCCUUGAAGGGCAGCAGCAAGGCUUCAAUCAAAGCCUUGGUGCUUCGAUUCGGGGCACAAGGAGCCCCUGUUCCUAGCCUCCGAGGAGGGAGGGAGGAAAAAAAAAAAAACGAAAGAGGAUGGGACGGAAGGGGCCGACAAUGUAGGAGGCUCCGGAGCUUGACGUGAGGUGGCGAGGAGGUGAGGGCCCCGUAGAUCUCGAAGUUCUUGUUGGCGUUGAGGAGGCUGCAGAGCUCAACGAGAGGUGGCAAGGAGGUCGGAGCAAGAGGAGUGUCCUUGUUGGGGACGAAGACGGCCUUGGUGUGGGGUAGGGGUUGUCGAACGAGAAGGCGGGGUCGGGGCAGAUCUCGCCGAAUCGAAGGAGAAGGCUGGUUUGAGUCGAUGAGCAGUGGAGAGGGUAAAGAAGAAGAAGAUGAACAGUGAACGCGCAAGGAGAGAGAGAAGGGAGUGGGACAAAAUUGAAAAAUUUUAAAAAAUUUGAGUCGUUUUGAAAUUUUAAAAAGUUUGUAAUAAAGUUAAAACGAAAUCUAACGGAGAAACGGAGUGGGCAGAGAUCUCAGAGCCUUGUCUUGAUGGGGUUGUACUCUCACCCAAGCCAGUGAUUGAAGAGUCGCAGCAGCGAAAGACAAAUUUCUUUUCCGGCGUGCUAAAGCUCUUUUGAGAGAGAGUUCACCCGGCAAAUGUGCAAUGUCCUACUGAUUGCAGGGAAACUUCGACAAACCUGUGCUCAUGGGUUCGAGAGACCACUCUAUGGAUGUGGUGGCUGGAUGAACAGAAGCAGCAGCAACAUCUUCAACGUGCACAAACAACAAGAGAUGGCUCUAAAGUCUUUGGGGAGACAUAUUCAACUGGCUAGUGGAACACAACACGAAGUGCGAAACAGAGUUAAAACGACAAAACUCACCAGCAUGAGGCGACGAAGCUGUGGAACACAACACGAAAUUGCAGGGGCAUGUACUGAUAAUUGAUCCAACCGACAAUGG